CUUCCAUCAUUUUCUUUCUUCUUUUUAUCAUUUUUUCACAUUUUGUUGAUGCUCAUAUGGAACACCGUAAAUUAAGUGGAUCAAAAGAGACAAUGGCCAUGAGGAGGAACUUAACGGGCACGGUAAUUCCAAAAUUGCAACUCCUGGGAGCAAGUCACGGCAGUCCGGACAGAAAAACACUCAAGAUAAGCCGUCCAAAAUCCAACCCGAUCAAGCAACGCCACAAAUUACAGGCUAUAGUACUGCUCAUUUUCUCAUUCAAAUGCAAUAUGUGAGAUAUAUAUAUCUAACAAAAACUUUGAUUGUAGGAAGCAAUAAUAAGACAUGCAGCUACAAAUUCAAUGAAUCCAGUGAUAAAUGUAAGAUGAGCCCCUAGCUAUGGCACACCCGGGACUUCUCAGUGAACUGUUUAUAACUAUGCAACUCAUGUAAUAUUUAUGGAA